rnacentral:lncRNA from 1 species
UCCUGCAUUUUUUAUAUCCAGCAGCAAAUUUACAUUUCAAAUAAUGAACACAUACCAGCCUUCAUAAUUAGCUCUAUUAUCAUGCAGCUAUACUUGUAUUUACACACAACUAUAUCAGUUAAUGUCAUUGUGCAACUAGAGACGAGAGUGACGCGGAGAAACAAAAUCUGUAAGCCUUACUUGACACAGCUGUUCUUGUUCUGGCAACCGCAAGCACAGGUUGGGCAAGGAGUGAUUGUUUCAUUGUAGAAAGAUGAGAAUGAAACGCAGCAGGUUGGAUUUUUGGAGGCUAGAAACUGUGAGUAGGUGCAGGUGACAUUCCAUGUCACUGCAUAAAGAAAAGUUACACUUGUAAUGCGGAAAUUGCAACAAACUAAAACAUAAGAUGUUCAGAACAAGCUUGGAGGAAAUAAACUUACUGAGGGCCUGGGUUUUUCGUCUACGGUCAGGUGUUAGGAAGACCGUAGAUGGCACUACCUUUGCAGGUCCACAAGUAUACCCUGGUCCUGGACCAAGCAAAGUGAAGUUCUUGGGCAGUUUCACUGUUUUAUUUGAUGUUCCGGCAAGUCCAAC